rnacentral:rRNA from 1 species
UACGUAGGCGGUUUGGUAAGUCAGGUGUGAAAUCCCGGAGCUCAACUCCGGAACUGCAUCCGAUACUGCUAGACUUGAGUAAUGGAGGGGCAGGUGGAAUUCUCGGUGUAGCAGUGAAAUGCGUGGAUAUCGAGAGGAAGACCAAUGGCGAAGGCAGCCUGCUGGACAUUUACUGACGCUGAGGUACGAAGGCCAGGGUAGCGAAAG